rnacentral:ribozyme from 1 species
UGUCCAGUAACUCCUAUUCCUACCUCCCGUGGUGCCGCCUGGGAUAUGAGUAACCAUAGGGAUCGGGUGACCAAUACCGGUGGGUCUUCGGUCGUAUGCUGACAGGGAAGG